GAAAUGCGAUAAGUAAUGUGAAUUGCAGAAUUCAGUGAAUCAUCGAAUCUUUGAACGCACAUUGCGCCCGCUAGUAUUCUGGCGGGCAUGCCUGUUCGAGCGUCAUUUCAACCAUCAAGCCCUAUGGCUUGCGAUGGGGCUAUGCGGCUGCCGCAUGCCCUGAAACUCAGUGGCGGGCUCGCCUAUACUCCGAGCGCAGUAAUACAUCUCACUCUGGCCGUAUAGCGGGUUCUUGCCAUAAAACACCCCAAAUUUAAGGUUGACCUCGGAUCAGGUAGGAAUACCCGCUGAACUUAA
rnacentral:misc_RNA from 1 species